GCGGACGUGGCGGAACCGGUAGACGCAAGGGACUUAAAAUCCCUCGGAGGCAACUCCAUGUGGGUUCGAUCCCCACCGUCCGCACCA
rnacentral:tRNA from 1 species